rnacentral:lncRNA from 1 species
GUGUGAUAAGGCGUAUCUGGCCGUUCCAAGAUCAAAAGAGCUGAUGUAACUGCCUCUGGAGAUGGCAUCAAUAGUGGCGAUGUGUGAGGUGGUGUUGUCCGGAGCAACUCGGGAUCGUCUAGGUCGAAUCCCUCGUCAUAGUCGAUCCGGCAUCGCUUGCCUCUGUCUUUGGUUGGCUGGAGGUAGUAUUGGCGAUGGCAUGCCUUCCUGGGGUUGUACGGACUGAUGACUGUGUCCGUCUUGAUGCAAAUGCCCUCAGGUUCCCCUUGAUACUUUGUGGGUACUAUCUCCCUGCUUCCAUCUCGUGCUGUUGUGGCUUCUGUUUGUUGGUUCUGGUCUACCUUGGUGGUGUGUGGUAAGACCUCAGCCGAUGUUGCAGCAGUGCUUUUGGCCUGCACCCACUGGUUGUAACGCUUGGCGUCCCUUCUCCUGGUGGAUGGUGGCUUACUUUUCAGGGCCGGCUUGGCUUUACUGGAGUGUGCCUCUGGUUCCUUAGCCUUUGUCUUGGUCCACGUCAGCUGUACUGACACCUGGUCAGAACUUGCGGAAAACUUCCAGGCAGGUUCUUUUCCAGUUAGCUUCAUGGCUGCUAGUAAUGCAUUCAAUUCAUCUGGUAUUUCCAUUAUGAUUGUCCAAAAAGUUAGUGAGUUGUGUUCAGCUGUGUUCAGUACGAAUACUUCAACGCGAAUG